GAGCAAAUAUGUUGAUGUUCAAAUGACUAUUGAUUGCCUAUAGAAUAUGCUUUCUGGUUUCAUUUAAAUGUAUGGAGUUAAGUGAGACCCAAGAUGGUACAUUAGAGUAAAGCCACACUGACUUCAGCCACAGAAAGACAUUGGCGCAAUAAAGGAUGGGUCACUAUCAGGGGAUUGAGAGACACGUUCAGUGGAGAAGGCACUGAAGAGAAAACAACUGUAGGGAAAGCACCAUCUUCACGUGGCUGGGUGAGAGGAGCUGCCGCAGCCCCUGAUUCUGGCUAUGUUUGAAUGAGGGAGAAUUCCGCAGUCCCCAUUGCCUUCAAGUGCAUUCUUGGGAGCUGGCAGGGGUUUGCCAUCUACUUUGCUCUUUGAAAGGGAGGCCUCGUAGCCUCCCACCCUUUUCCCACCAACGCACCAGACACAAUGGACUGAUGUGGAUGUGUAUCUGCCCUUUGUCCUGACUGAGGAACAAUGGGUAGUUAUGGUGAUGCCAGGGCCAGGAUGGGGGAGCUCGCAGUGUGGAGAGUGCGCCCCUGCACUCUCAUGAUGACGUGAGUUCUAGGCUUAUGUUAUGUAGCUGAGAGAGAAAUGAGUUGUAGCUGAUUUCCUGCUCACCUCACCAGUCUGUGGAAAAAUAUGGGCUCCUUGCAUGCUAUAGACAGAACUUGCCGAAGAGCUGAGGGACAGAAAAUGGAGUAAGCCUGUGCUCUGUGUUUUUUGUGUGCCUGGGUGGGUUGGUUGUGCUGGCACCAUGAGGUUACUCUGGACUGUGAAUCAGCCAAUUCACCCAGCACAGUGUGCUGGAGGAUGUGGGCCUCUCAAGGGGUGGCUUAGCCCACUGUGCCACGUCUGUGAUGAUGAAGAGCGCCUGUGUGUUAAAUGUGUGUCUACACAUCCUGUGCAGUCCUGGUUUUCAGUUACAGCAUCUCAUUUCUUUCCUGGCAGCAUCUAAAGUGAUCUGUGAGGAUUUUUUCUCUUUAUGAACUCUUAGAUUUAAGAAUAGUGCUUCAAUUUGUUGUCAUAUUUUCCUUACUGAUGAUCAAACUGUCCUGUCUUUAGCCAAUGUUCUGUUCUCUGACUUUAACUGCUCCUCUGUGUUUCUUCCCUACUCCUCCUAGGUAUGGAAUUUUUGGUAUUUCAUAAUUUUUCAUGUAUUGGUCAUACAAAGAUAUCCUUCAACCCUGGUCACAUGGCAGCUACUGAGCAAGGAUUCCAAGCAUAAAUUUGUGCAAAAUGGACCCAAUCACUGCAUCAAACAGCUCAAAGCUAACAGGUGAGCCAGACUCCAAUAAACUAUUCAUACAUAGGUGUGAAAGGUGGGAA
rnacentral:lncRNA from 1 species